rnacentral:rRNA from 1 species
AUGUUCCCUUGCACUAACAAUGCAGCUGAAUAUGAGGCUUUACUCCAUGGUCUUCGAAUGGCUAAGGAGAUGAAUCUAAGCCGAGUUAAGUGCUUCGGUGACUCGGAUUUGGUGGCUCAACAAGUGUCCGGCACUUGGGAUUCCAAGGACGCACUCAUGGCAGCAUAUCGUCGUGAGGUGGAUAUUGUUGCAGGUCACUUUAAAGGUUAUCAGGUGGAUCAUGUGGACCGGCGAAAGAAUGAAGCGGCGGAUGCUUUAAGCCGCCUGGGUUCCCAACGUAAACCAGUUCCACCUAAUGUCUUCCUGGAUGUUUUGCAUAAUCCGUCCGUCAAGCUCCCUGGUGAAGAGGAUUUGGUUGUUCCUGAUCCGGAGGCUCAGUUGGUGGCGGCCCUUCAUGUUAUCUCGGAUUGGACGGUUCCGUAUCUGGCGUAUAUGAACCGGGGCGAGUUACCAGAGGAUGAAACUCUGGCCAGGCAGAUAAUCCAGCGGUCCAAAUCCAUGACUAUCAUCAAUGGAGAGUUACAUCAUUGCAGUGUGACAGGGGCGUUUCAACGUUGUGUGUCUCCUGCGGAAGGCCGUGAAAUUUUGCGUGAGAUCCACGAAGGAGAUUGUGGUCACCACGCCGGUUCAAAAUCUUUGGUGGCCAAGGCGUUUCGUCACGGUUUCUAUUGGUUGACAGCUCAUGCUGAUGCCGAGGACUUGGUCAAAAAAUGUGAUAGCUGUCAGAAAUACUCAAGGCGCGCUCAUGUACCAGCUCAAGAAUUGAGAAUGAUUCCAAUCACCUGGCCAUUUCCAACUUGGGGGCUGGAUAUGGUUGGGCCUUUCAAGAGGUCCAAGGACAAGAAGACCCACCUCUUGGUGGCGGUUGAUAAGUUCAUGAAGUGGGUGGAGGUAGAGCCAGUUAGUAAGUGUGACGCAGCCACGGCGGUUCAAUUCAUCAAAACGGUGAUCUUCCAGUUUGGCUUUCCACACAGCAUCAUAACAGACAAUGGUUCCAAUCUGUCAAAAGGUGCCAUGAAGGAGUUCUGUCAACGUGAGCACAUCCGGCUUGACGUGUCAUCAGUGGCUCACCCCCAGUCCAAUGGUCAAGCGGAGAGGGCCAAUCAAGAGAUCUUGAGAGGCAUCAAACCCCGGCUUAUGGUUCCUUUGCAACGGACCCCGGGUUGUUGGGUUGAGGAGCUACCUUCAGUGUUAUGGAGCAUCAAUACCACACCCAACAGAUCGACAGGAUACACACCGUUCUUCAUGGUUUAUGGAGCGGAAGCCGUUCUUCCUAGUGACAUCCGUCAUGACUCACCUCGUGUAGCGGCAUACGUUGAAGCUGACAACGAGAAGACACGGCAGGAAGCUCUUGACCUGUUAGAUGAGGAGCGUGACAUGGCGGCAGCCCGUUCGGCGAUUUAUCAGCAAGAUCUGCGUUGUUAUCAUAGCCGCCGGGUUAGAACCAGAACCUUUCAAGAAGGAGAUUUGGUGCUUCGACUCAUCCAGGAUCAGACGGAUAUGCACAAGGUAUCCCCCCUUGGGAAGGACCUUUUGUGGUCAGCAAGAAUCUGCACAACGGGUUAUACUACCUAA